rnacentral:rRNA from 1 species
GUAAAUAAUUAAGGGCGUAUGGUGGAUGCCUAGGCUCUCAGAGGCGAAGAAGGACGUGAUAAGCUGCGAAAAGCUCCGUUUAGGUGCAAAUAACCUUUGAUGCGGAGAUCUCCGAAUGGGAUAACCCAAUAUGUUGAAGACAUAUUAUACCGUAAGGUAGGCAAACGCAGGGAACUGAAACAUCUAAGUACCUGCAGGAGAAGAAAACAAACGUGAUUCCCCCAGUAGCGGCGAGCGACCGGGGAAAAGCCCAAACCGUUAUUGUUUCGGCAGUAGCGGGGUAGUAGGACUGCGACAUUGAUGAAAUAAAUGAAAUGGAACACCUUGGAAAAUGUGAUCACAGAGGGUGAUAAUCCCGUACAUGCAAGUUUAUGAAUCAUAGCAGACUCCUGAGUAAGUCGGGACACGUGUAAUCCUGACCGAAUCCGCCGGGACCAUCCGGCAAGGCUAAAUACUCCUGAGAGACCGAUAGUGAACCAGUACCGUGAGGGAAAGGUGAAAAGCACUUCGAACAGAAGAGUGAAAUAGUCCCUGAACCCAUACGCCUACAAGCUGUCGGAGCCGCUUCGUGCGGUGACGGCGUGCCUUUUGCAUAAUGAGCCUACGAGUUACUCAUCACCAGCGAGGUUAAGUACUUCAGGUACGUAAGCCGAAGCGAAAGCGAGUCUGAAUAGGGCGUCAAGUUGGUGGUGGUAGACGCGAAACCUUAGUGAUCUACCCAUGGGCAGGGUGAAGGUUUGGUAACACAAACUGGAGGCCCGAACCGGUAAACGUUGAAAAGUUUUCGGAUGACCUGUGGGUAGGGGUGAAAGGCCAAUCAAACUGGGAAAUAGCUCGUACUCUCCGAAAUGCAUUUAGGUGCAGCCUCUGUUGUUUUGUUCUAGAGGUAGAGCUACUGAUUGGAUGCGAGGGCUUCACCGCCUAUCAAAUCCGGCCAAACUCCGAAUGCUAGAACAUGAAGACAGGGAGUGAGCCAGCGGGUGCUAAGGUCCGUUGACGAAAGAGGGAGAACUCAGACCAUCAGCUAAGGUCCCCAAUUAUAUGCUAAGUUGGAAUUAAAACGGGGUGGGACUGCUUAGACAGCUAGGAUGUUGGCUUGGAAGCAGCCAUUCAUUUAAAGAGUGCGUAACAGCUCACUAGUCGAGCGGUCCUGCAUGGAUAAUACGCGGGCAUAAGCAUAUAACCGAAGCUAUGGGAUUGUAGAUGAUACAAUCGGUAGGAGAGCAUUCCAUUCAGCAUAGAAGCAGUAUCGUGAGGUAUUGUGGAGCGGAUGGAAAAGCAAAUGUAGGCAUAAGUAACGAUAAUGCGGGUGAGAACCCCGCACGCCGAAAGAUCAAGGAUUCCCCGGCAAUGUCAAUCAUCCGGGGGUAAGUCGGAUCCUAAGGGUAAGCCGAGUGGCGAUCCCGAUGGCAAACAGGUUAAUAUUCCUGUACUGAUCAUAACUGCGAUGCAGCGACGCAGAGGUGACACUGCUGCGUACUGACGGAAUAGUACGUUGAAACCCGUAUUCUUUGAUACCGGUAGUGAAGCACGCCGGUAGAGAUGAAAGGUGAUAGUACCGCAAUGCUUCGGUUGCGCGGAUAACGCAGGUAAGCUGACUGCCAAGAAAACCUGCUAAGCUUCAGGUAAUGAUCAUCCGUACUGUAAACGGACACACGUGAUCAGGUAGAAAAUACUAAGGCGCUCGAGAGAUUCAUGGUUAAGGAACUAGGCAAAAUGGUCCUGUAACUUCGGGAUAAAGGACGCUCUUGUGAAAGAGCCGCAGAUAAUAGGCCCAGGCGACUGUUUACCAAAAACACAUGGCUAUGCUAAUUCGCAAGAAGAUGUAUAUGGCCUGACACCUGCCCGGUGCCGGAAGGUUAAGAGGAGAGCUCAGAGGUAACUCGAAGGUUUGAAUUGAAGCCCCGGUAAACGGCGGCCGUAACUAUAACGGUCCUAAGGUAGCGAAAUUCCUUGUCGGGU